GAACACGGUCCAUUAGAACUACUUGUGGUUUUGAAAUAGCCAACUGGUUUUACUCAGAUUAGAUUAGUAUCUGCUUCACCAACUAUAUCUGCCCACGUUGCAACAUGAGUUGAAUAAGAGAUUUUGUUUUCGUGUUAUUCCUUAUCUGCCAAACGAGAACAAAAAAAAAUCUUUACAUCUGAACCUAUUAUAACAUUUAUCACAUGUUUUAUGGAUUGGAAAAUUCAAAUCUAUAAUAUAAUAGUACAGUUUUCUCUUUCCUGAGGCCACACGUCAGCAUUUUGGGAGGUCUCACUUUUAAAAAGUAUGAAAAAGUGUCAAGUAUGUGGUUCGAAUCCGGGUUAUUGAGAUAUAAACACUAAUAUUAAUUUAUACUACUAAAUUAAAAGCUUCUUUGUACACUGAUGGCCGAAACUAAUAUAUAUACAUAUAUUUAUGAAGGUCGGAAACCUUUGCUUCUUCGGUUUUCUCUGUGGGCCGAGCCUACAAGUGUAUUAUGAGUUUCAUUUUUAAAUGAGGUUCAUCACGUUAUAUGAAAAAAACAACAAUUAUAGUUUUUCCAUAUUGUAAAUUGUCUUCGUUUAACAUGAGUUAGGGUUCUUUUCAUUAUUGUCUUAGACAAGUCUGAGUUACAGAGUUGCGCUGUGUAUCUGUUCGUAAUCUAUUUUUUCACAUGUGAACUCUUCAUCUCCCCAUCUUAAAUCUCUUGAUCUUAAAUGUUCCUGAUUUGUAGCCAUUCUGUAAAUCCUAUAGAUAUGAUUCUUAUCUUUGAUGAACCCAAUCUGUAUCUCCACAAAACUCAUUGAUUCCUCUUAGCUUUAACGAUCUUCUAAAAAAUGUCUCUCUGCCUUUCUAGUUCCUCAAACCGGCGUUCCCGGCAUCCUUCACUUAACCUUCGAGUCUCCCCGUGUUAGUUGUAGUAGUCAGAGCAAGCCUCUAACCUCCUCGCUUAUAGGAUUCCUUGAACUUCAAGAAAGACAGUGAGUUUAUGGGAAUCACGGUUCUCUUCCUUGAUGAAAAGGUAAGUUAAUCUUCGAUUAAUCACGCUUAUUUAAUAUUAUUAUUUUUAAUUGAUUUCAUGAUUCUUUGUUAAAUAAUAUUAUUUACAGAUUCCGUGAUUCAUAGGUUUAUUCCUGCCGGACGUGCUAAUCAUUACAUGUCAUCUUUGAAAGUCGGUUCCAUUGUGAAAGUCGAUCGUUUUGAGUCAUCACGGGUGCUCCUGAGAUCAAUCUCCAAUCAUAAUUAGACUGUUUGACAAUUUUCAAGUGAUUACAAACACAAACCUAGAAUUCCCAGGUAUAUUAUCAUAUUGCAUCAGGGUUUAUAAUAUGUUUUGUUAUCAUAACUGAUAUUUAAACUCGUAGAUGUGGUUGGGCAAAUCCGUUCUGUCCCAGGCUCUGACCUUAGCAAGGAAACAACUCGAGUCGUUAUCCGUCUCCUCAUUGAUCUGUAAGAAACAAUCAACACACAAUUCCCUUUAUAUUAUUAUCUAUGUUGUGCCAACAUCAAUAAUCAAAAAUAUUUCCUACCCAAAUGAUGUGGUCGUCUAUUUAUCUCUCUUACUUAUCAAACUAAUUUUACACAAACCUUUAUUAAACAGCUUAAAAGAAACCACAACAACCCAAACAAUAAAAACACCAAAAACUAGAAUUCCAAAAAAGAUGAAUCAUUAAUGAUCACCUUUUUUUUUCUAAUCUUAGAAAUAAACUUCAAAACAAAUAUACCAAACCAAUCAUCUCAACUAAAACUCAAUGACACAUACAUCGAGUCAGCUAAACAAAUACAAACUACACGGCCAGCUAUUUAAGAAUUUGCAAACUUACUUUCGCAAUGACACAUACAUCGAGUCAGCUAAACAAAUGCAAACUACACGGCCAGCUAUUUAACAGUUUACAAACUCACUUUCACAAUGAAGAAAACGAAGACGACAACCAAGACCAGUGAAAUUACCUAAACAAAAAAGCAGAGUACGUUAUGAACUCUGAUAAAUACAACUAAAAAAGAUUUUUGUUUACAUAUUACCCAUCAAAUAAAAGAUAAACAAACACAUCCACAACAGAAGAUACAAGAGACAAUCCUGACAGACACAAAGGCGGCAACAACAGCUCCACAUGCUCACUUCUCUUGUUUUAUAAAAAUAGCUUACAUGCCCAAUGUCAACAUGCCAAUGCUAUUUGUCUUCUUAUAUGAGAAAUACAUAAAUUCGUUUAAAACUCAUUAAAGUCCAAAUACUCAGAACUGUCACUCAUUUUAUAGUUAUUUCUACAAGUCUUCAUGUAUUUGUUUUAAAGGUCCGGUAAGAGCAACAAGUUUAAAAAUAAAAUAAAAACAUAUAACAAACAUAAUAAGGAUAAUAAAAAUUAUUACUUAAUACACACAACUUACACAACUAAACUCGUGAAAAAAUAUCCAGAAACAAAAGGUACUCUCAGCAACUUUAAUAUAAUUUAUGAAUUCUCAACAGUACAAUAAACAAAUUAAAAAGACAAAUAAACAAUAAGUCUCAGUAACACAGCAAACAACAACAUGAACUAUAUCAAUCACAUUACUAACACAGUUUAGUCCUUCAUUAGUGGAGAACAAUGCAUACACAGUUCAUCAUCACAACUCUAACUCUAUAACAAUAAACAAAACUU